UACGUAGGGUGCAAGCGUUUGUCCGGAAUUAUUGGGCGUAAAGAGCUCGUAGGCGGUUUGUCGCGUCUGCUGUGAAAACCCGAGGCUCAACCUCGGACCUGCAGUGGGUACGGGCAGACUAGAGUGCGGUAGGGGAGAUUGGAAUUCCUGGUGUAGCGGUGGAAUGCGCAGAUAUCAGGAGGAACACCAACGGCGAAAGCACUCUGCUGGGCCGACACUGACACUGAGAGACGAAAGCUAGGGGAGCGAAUGGG
rnacentral:rRNA from 1 species